AUUGAACGCUGGCGGAAUGCUUUACACAUGCAAGUCGAACGGCAGCACGGACUUCGGUCUGGUGGCGAGUGGCGAACGGGUGAGUAAUGUAUCGGACCGUGCCCAGUCGUGGGGGAUAACGUAGUGAAAAUUACGCUAAUACCGCAUACGAUCUAUGGAUGAAAGCGGGGGACCGUAAGGCUCCGCGCGAUUGGAGGGGCUGAUAUCAGGUUAGGUAGAUGGUGGGGUAAAGGCUCACCAAGCCGACGAUCUGUAGCUGGUCUGAGAGGACGACCAGCAACACUGGAACUGAGACACGGUCCAGACUCCUACGGGAGGCAGCAGUGGGGAAUUUUGGACAAUGGGCGCAAGCCUGAUCCAGCCAUUCCGCGUGCAGGAUGAAGGCCCUCGGGUUGUAAACUGCUUUUGUACGGAACGAAAAGGCUCUGGUUAAUACCUGGGGCUCAUGACGGUACCGUAAGAAUAAGCACCGGCUAACUACGUGCCAGCAGCCGCAGUAA
rnacentral:rRNA from 1 species